UUCAAUUCUUCUUGCUUACUCUUGAUUGAGGUUGUACUUGAUGUUGACAUCCAUCCACGGACAGUAUGAAUUGCAGGAAACGUACAGAUAAUUU